rnacentral:rRNA from 1 species
UACGUAGGGUGCAAGCGUUGUCCGGAAUUAUUGGGCGUAAAGAGCUCGUAGGCGGUUUGUCGCGUCUGCUGUGAAAACUCGGGGCUUAACCCCGGGCCUGCAGUGGGUACGGGCAGACUAGAGUGCGGUAGGGGAGACUGGAAUUCCUGGUGUAGCGGUGAAAUGCGCAGAUAUCAGGAGGAACACCGGUGGCGAAGGCAGCUCGCUGGGACGUAACUGACGCUGAGACGCGAAAGCGUGGGGAGCAAACAGG